GCGCGAAAACUUUACAAUGCUGGCAACAGCGAUAAGGGAACCUCGAGUGCCAGGUUACAAAUCUGGCUGUCGAGAUGCCUAAAAAGCAUUUCAUAGCAAGGGCCGGGCAAGACCGGUGCCAGCCGCCGCGGUAACACCGGCGGCUCGAGUGGUAACCGUUAUUAUUGGGUCUCACGGGUCUGUAGCCGGCCGGAUAAGUCUCUUGAGAAAUCUGGAAGCUUAACGUUCAGGGUUGCAGGAGAUACUGUCUGGCUCGAGGCCGGUAGAGGUGAGAGGUACUUCAGGGGUAGGGGUGAAAUCUUGUAAUCCUUGAAGGACCACCAGUGGCGAAGGCGUCUCACCAGAACGGACCUGACGGCAAGGGACGAAAGCUAGGGGCACGAACC
rnacentral:rRNA from 1 species